UUUUUUUAGCGGUAGAAAUUCUAGUACGGCGGUGGAAUACCAGGGGAAAAAAAAGUUUUUUUAAAAGGUUACCAAUAGGAUAAUCUCUGAUCAUAAUUUUAAGCUGAAGGAUGGCAUGUCGGUAUUUUUUUUUUUAAGUAAUUAUAUUUUCCAGAAUAACCCGAAGACGAGAUCGGAUCUCUCUCUUUCUAUCCCUCCCUCGUACCCUCCCCCUACGCGGCUUUGAAUUGGGCAGCGCUCCAAAGACUUCGAUUUGCUCGGGUCGAUAGGUCUUCGAUUGAAGGCCGUCUUCGGUUUUGUCGGUCCAGAUCUAUGGGUGGUGCUCGAUCCUUCCGAACUGCAGCAGUGGAUUUCAGUUCGCUGCAGCUAGUGAUAAUGUUCUUUUGAGGGGAUUCGUGUUCUUCAUUGUCUUUAUAUAGAACCUGGAAUGGGUUCUCGAGUCUCCAAGUUAACGUGCUGUUGGGGUUCUCAGUACAAGGGGACCGUUCUUGAAGCUCCCGAUGUUGAGAGCGAGGAGAAGGGGGACGCAUAUGACCUGCCUCCCUUCCAGGAGUUCUCUUUUGAACAGCUUAGGUUGGCCACGUCUGGCUUUGCAGUGGAGAACAUCGUGUCGGAGCACGGGGAGAAGGCUCCGAAUGUUGUUUAUAAGGGAAAGCUGGACGCUCAGAGGAGGAUUGCAGUGAAGAGGUUUAAUAGGUCGGCCUGGCCUGAUCCUCGACAGUUCUUGGAAGAAGCAAGAGCUGUAGGUCAGCUUCGAAACCAUAGAUUGGCAAAUUUGCUUGGCUGUUGCUGUGAAGAUGAUGAGAGGCUGCUUGUGGCAGAAUUUAUGCCCAACGACACACUUGCAAAACAUCUUUUUCAUUGGGAAACCCAACCCAUGAAAUGGCCAAUGCGAUUAAGGGUGGUACUCUAUCUAGCUGAAGCCUUGGAAUAUUGCACUAGUAAGGGGCGUGCUCUCUAUCAUGAUCUUAAUGCUUAUAGAGUUUUAUUUGAUGAUGAUUGUAAUCCUAGGCUUUCAUGUUUUGGCUUGAUGAAGAACAGUCGUGAUGGCAAAAGUUAUAGCACGAACUUGGCAUUUACACCUCCUGAGUAUUUAAGAACAGGAAGAGUUACACCAGAAAGUGUCAUAUAUAGCUUUGGCACGUUGUUGCUUGAUGUUCUUAGUGGAAAGCAUAUCCCUCCUAGUCAUGCUCUUGACUUGAUACGUGAUCGUAACUUCAACAUGCUAACAGACUCAUGUUUGGAAGGACAAUUUUCAAAUGAGGAUGGUACUGAAUUAGUACGUCUAGCUUCAAGAUGUUUGCAGUAUGAGCAACGAGAGAGACCUAAUGUGAAGUCAUUGCUUCUUGCAUUGACUCCGCUGCAAAAGGAGAUUGAGGUUCCUUCUUAUGUCUUGAUGGACAUGCCUCGUGGUGGUGCAUCCUCAUUGGAGACGCUCCCUCUUUCCCCACUUGGUGAAGCUUGCUCCAGAAUGGAUUUGACUGCAAUACAUGAAAUCCUAGAAAAGAUAGGGUAUAAAGAUGACGAGGGAACGACAAAUGAGGAUUUAACCUGCUGUGAAAGAGAUGGAACGGUUCUGGACUAUAAUACUGCGACCUUUUCCCUAAAAAAUUGCUUCUUCCCUAUUGUCUGAGAUUCAGAGAACAGGAUCUCUCAUUUCAAAUGUGGACCAAUCAAAUGCAAGAAACGUUGAACUCAAAGAAGAAGGGUGAUGCUGCUUUUCGGCAUAAAGAUUUCAAUACAGCAAUUGAAUGCUACACCCAGUUCAUUGAUGUUGGAACUAUGGUUUCUCCGACAAUAUUUGCACGCCGCUGCUUGUCAUACCUGAUGAAUGACAUGCCACAGCAAGCUCUGAAUGAUGCAAUGCAGGCACUAGUCAUAUCUCCUACUUGGCCAACUGCAUUUUAUCUUCAGGCUGCUGCCCUUUUUGCUCUUGGAAUGGAAAAUGAAGCUCGAGAAGCACUGAAAGAUGGGUCAUCCCUAGAAACAAAGAAGAACAGGGGGCAUUAAAGGCAAGCUAAUUAGAUGAUAGUCGAUUGAUAAAUGCCCAACUUUUCAGGUUUAGGUGCAUACAUGACCGCAAUCAUUGGAUAUUGAGGCAGGUUUUGUUCAUUGCCAUGUGGCUAGCAUGCUACAUAACCCCCUCUUGUGUACACCAAUCAUCUCCAUAUGUAUCAUGCAUGUAUAUAUGGAAGCAACGACCACCAUAGUGUCCCCGAAAGAAAUCGCAAACUAAUAAGUCUGGCAAGAAAAAUGGGAAAGCUUGAUCCUUCAUCCCUAGUUUUAGGUAUUGUACUGUUGUUUUACAAGGAUGUGUGUUGUAAAUGUCCAUCUCGCUGGUAAACAUGUAAUAAUGUACAGCAGUGGAAUGAUUUAAAUUGUCAGUGUGGUUCUUUUUUAUUAUCUGUGGGUCCUUAAUUGGUUUUCUCCUGAGAAUUGUUGGUUUCUUUCUUGAAGAACAUUUGCUGAAAGGUUAUGUAUCUUGGACUGUGUUUAAUGUAGUGAUGUGGAGAUUCUUUGA